UUGCAGUCAGUUAAGGUAACUGGGCUUUCUUUCCUUGUGGGAGAAAACAGCAGCUCCCUCCAUAGUGUGCAUAGCUUGUUGCUUGAGUGGAUUAGCCUAAGGGACCUCAGAGACAGCC
ensembl:snoRNA SNORA70 Small nucleolar RNA SNORA70